UAGGUGCUCUCUGUUGGGAUGA
rnacentral:miRNA from 1 species